AUUGAACGCUGGCGGCAGGCUUAACACAUGCAAGUCGAGCGGGGACUUCGGUCCUAGCGGCGAACGGGUGAGGAAUGCUUGGGAAUCUGCCUGGUAGUGGGGGAUAACGUUUCGAAAGGAACGCUAAUACCGCAUACGUCCUACGGGAGAAAGGGGGGAUCUUCGGACCUCUCGCUAUCAGAUGAGCCCAAGUCGGAUUAGCUAGUUGGUGAGGUAAAGGCUCACCAAGGCGACGAUCCGUAGCUGGUCUGAGAGGAUGAUCAGCCACACUGGAACUGGGACACGGUCCAGACUCCUACGGGAGGCAGCAGUGGGGAAUAUUGGACAAUGGGCGAAAGCCUGAUCCAGCCAUGCCGCGUGUGUGAAGAAGGCCUUCGGGUUGUAAAGCACUUUAAGCGAGGAGGAAUGGCUCUGGGUUAAUACCCUUGAGCAGUGACGUUACUCGCAGAAUAAGCACCGGCUAACUCUGUGCCAGCCGCCGCAGUAAGAC
rnacentral:rRNA from 1 species